rnacentral:rRNA from 1 species
UACGGAGGGUGCAAGCGUUAUCCGGAUUUACUGGGUUUAAAGGGUGCGUAGGCGGGCCAUUAAGUCAGUGGUGAAAGCUCCGAGCUUAACUCGGAAACUGCCAUUGAUACUAUUGGUCUUGAAUUCGGUCGAGGUUGGCGGAAUGUGUCGUGUAGCGGUGAAAUGCUUAGAUAUGACACAGAACACCGAUUGCGAAGGCAGCUAGCUAGACCGACAUUGACGCUGAGGCACGAAAGCGUGGGGAGUCAAACAGG